rnacentral:rRNA from 1 species
UACGGAGGGGGCUAGCGUUGUCCGGAAUCACUGGGCGUAAAGGGCGCGUAGGCGGCUCAUGAAGGCUGUGGUGAAAGUCCGGGGCUCAACCUCGGAUCGGCCGUGGCGACUCGUGGGCUGGAGCACUGUAGAGGCAGGUGGAAUUCCGGGUGUAGCGGUGGAAUGCGUAGAGAUCCGGAAGAACACCAGUGGCGAAGGCGGCCUGCUGGGCAGUGGCUGACGCUGAGGCGCGACAGCGUGGGGAGCAAACAGG